UACGUAGGGUGCAAGCGUUGCCCGGAUUUAUUGGGCGUAAAGGGCGCGUAGGCGGCUCGGCACGUCCGUUGUGAAAUCGCCCGGCUCAACUGGGCGGGGUCAGCGGAUACGGCCGAGCUUGAGCAAGCUAGGGGGCAAUGGAAUUCCCGGUGUAGUGGUGGAAUGCGUAGAUAUCGGGAGGAACACCAACGGCGAAAGCACUCUGCUGGGCCGACACUGACACUGAGAGACGAAAGCUAGGGGAGCGAAUGGG
rnacentral:rRNA from 1 species